CCCUUUGGGUGUGACUGCGUACCUUUUGUAUAAUGGGUCAGCGACUUAUAUUCUGUAGCAAGGUUAACCGAAUAGGGGAGCCGGAGGGAAACCGAGUCUUAACCGGGCGUUAAGUUGCAGGGUAUAGACCCGAAACCCGGUGAUCUAGCCAUGGGCAGGUUGAAGGUUGGGUAACACUAACUGGAGGACCGAACCGACUAAUGUUGAAAAAUUAGCGGAUGACCUGUGGCUGGGGGUGAAAGGCCAAUCAAACCGGGAGAUAGCUGGUUCUCCCCGAAAGCUAUUUAGGUAGCGCCUCGUGAAUUCAUCUCCGGGGGUAGAGCACUGUUUCGGCUAGGGGGCCAUCCCGGCUUACCAACCCGAUGCAAACUGCGAAUACCGGAGAAUGUUAUCACGGGAGACACACGGCGGGUGCUAACGUCCGUCGUGAAGAGGGAAACAACCCAGACCGCCAGCUAAGGUCCCAAAGUCAUGGUUAAGUGGGAAACGAUGUGGGAAGGCCCAGACAGCCAGGAUGUUGGCUUAGAAGCAGCCAUCAUUUAAAGAAAGCGUAAUAGCUCACUGGUCGAGUCGGCCUGCGCGGAAGAUGUAACGGGGCUAAACCAUGCACCGAAGCUGCGGCAGCGACA
rnacentral:rRNA from 1 species